AGUGUUGUUCGCAUACUUAUAAGUAUCGGAUAGUAUUCGGAGAGACGUCCUCAAACAAUUAUUGGACUAUGGACGAAUACGUUGGAGACCAAAUAAUGUUACACCAUGGAUUACAAAGUAAAUAUGCAUUCUCCCGUGAGCUACAGAUAGGAAUUAUGCAAAGGCUAGGCCAUAUAUUUUUCAAAAAUAAUCCAUCAAAUUAACUGUCUGAAGAAAUGGAUAAAGGUAUUCUAAUUCCAGUCAAAUUUUAAUGGGACACGAAUCGUACCAGGAAGAUUUACGUUAAUAGAUUACAUUCUCGAAAUAACCCACGAUCUUUUAACAUAUGCAAUGAAAUAAUGUACACCUCUUCCAAGAAAUGAAAAAAUGCCUACCUUCGCACCUAACAUACAAAUAUUUAUGUUUUUAUAGUACAUACAUAUGCAAGUUGGAGUAUUCGUACUCGUGCAAGUGAAACCACUACACCGCGCAACAAUAACAGCACUACACCACGCAACAAUAAUACCACUGAUCCCGCUAUUUUCACCAUAUGCUGAACAGUCCAUGUGACACUGGAUAGGAACAUUUUUUGGUAUAAAACAACUACUUGCAAAAAGAAGAACCGAGCAUUCCAGAAGUUACGAAAGGAAGCAGUAGAAGCUGCCAAGAUAGGCGCUCCUUAAAUUAGGCUCGUUACGAAUGUUAUGAUCUAAACAAAUCUACAAGCUUUUGUCUUAUGAAUUCAACAUCUUCGAACUACCAACUUCCAGCUUGAAACUCUAGUUGGCUUCACUAUCUUCCUCAACGCAAUCCAACUUUUAUUGGCAAACGAUUAAGUUUUUAUUGAGUUCUUCCAUUCUAUAACAAAAGCGUCGACCAACUUUGCUUAUCUUCUACUCUCUUCUAUGUUUUUCAAAAUAAGAGUUGCCAUUGCCAUAACUAAACAAUACAUUCUAAUGGAUUAUUUGACUGUCAGUUGCUGUCACCUUAAACUACCAAAAUAUCCGACAAUUUCAUGUUGAUUAUUAUGCUUCAUAUUUUAGCAGAAACUCAUUGUAUAAUCUGCUUAAAAAUACUGAUUUUUACUGUAUGCUUGCUGAAAAUUAUGUUUGAACCGUAUUUAUUGGAAUGCAAUAGACCGAUUAACUCAACUUAUUUAUCUACAUACAAAUCUAUCGCAACUGCACUUUGUAUUUAGGAAAUGUCCUCGCAGUUUUUUCUAUUCAUCAUAUUUAUAUAUGUAUAACCAAAAUACCCCACCAAAACCUAGAAAAAAUUGAAAAAACCAUCACACAAACAUGUUUUUUAUGUAUCGUCUGUCAAAUAAAAAACUUCAGCAUAA